rnacentral:rRNA from 1 species
AGAGUGAACGCUGGCGGCAGGCCUAAUACAUGCAAGUCGAACGGCAGCACAGCAGAGCUUGCUCUGUGGGUGGCGAGUGGCGGACGGGUGAGGAAUACAUGGGAAUCUGCCCAGUCGUGGGGAUAACGUAGGGAAACUUACGCUAAUACCGCAUGCGCCCGUUCGGGGGAAAGCCGGGACCUUCGGGCCUGGCGCGAUUGGAUGAGCCCAUGUCGGAUUAGCUAGUUGGCGGGUAAAGCCCACCGAAGGCGACGAUCCGUAGCUGGUCUGAGAGGAUGAUCAGCCACACGUGGAACUGAGACCACGGUCCAGACCUCCGUAGGGAGCAGCAAGGUAGGAAUAUGGACAAGUGGGCAC